rnacentral:tRNA from 1 species
UAUUUAAAUAGCUUAAGUUUAAAGUAUAAUAUUGAAGAUAUUAAGAUAAUAUAUUAAAUAUUUUUAAAUAU